GACCUCGCGAGAGCAAGCGGACCUCAUAAAGUGCGUCGUAGUCCGGAUUGGAGUCUGCAACUCGACUCCAUGAAGUCGGAAUCGCUAGUAAUCGUGGAUCAGAAUGCCACGGUGAAUACGUUCCCGGGCCUUGUACACACCGCCCGUCACACCAUGGGAGUGGGUUGCAAAAGAAGUAGGUAGCUUAACCUUCGGGAGGGCGCUUACCACUUUGUGAUUCAUGACUGGGGUGAAGUCGUAACAAGGUAACCGUAGGGGAACCUGCGGUUGGAUCACCUCCUUA
rnacentral:rRNA from 1 species